GAAAUUUAUGCUCAUGUCCCCCUAAAUUUAUGUUAUUAAAAAUAUACCCCUGAAAAUAUUGUAUUUUAUGUUCAUUCGCCUUUUUUAUUUUUAUUUAUUUAUUUUUCAAAAUUGUCUCACUUCGGACCUUCAAGGUUUGAAGUCACAAUUUAUGCGAUGACUUUGGAUCUUGAGGAUCAAAAGUAAUUCUUUCAACUGAUGGCUUUUAACUUUGAAGAUUCGAAGUUAUCUUUUGGCUUCUGACCUUCAAGGUCUGAAGUCAAGAUUCAUGUCUCAAAAUAUAGGUCUUGGCUUUAGACCUUCAAGGUCCGAAGCCAAAGACUUUAAAAAAAUUUAUUGGCUUUAGUAGUUAUUCUAGGAUAGACUUCAAUUUUUUUGAAGUCUUUGGCUUCGUACUCUGAAGGUCCAAUGCCAAGAUUGAUACGAGUCUUGAUUUCAGAUCUUCAAGGUCUGAAGCCAAGAGAUGAAUUUGGAUCUCGAAGGUCUGCAGUCAUAAUUAAAAACAAUUAUUUCAAAUCUUCAAGUUCUGGAGUCAUAACAACAAUUAUGAUUUUGGAUUUUGAAGGUCUGAAGUGGGGCAUUUUGGGAGAAAAUAGAAGUUGAUAAAAUGGGUCUUGACGUAAUAUACGGCAUUUUGGAGGAAUCGUUUAAAUAACAGAAUUAUUAGGGGGACAUGAGCAUAAAUUUC
rnacentral:pre_miRNA from 1 species